AAAAACAUUUCUUUUAGAUUAAUUUAUAAGUAAGGCCUGCCCACUGUUUAUAAAAUAAAGGGCCGCGGUAUUUUGACCGUGCAAAGGUAGCAUAAUCAUUAGUCUUUUAAUUGAAGAAUGGAAUGAAUGGCCAAAUAAAAUUUAUCUAUUUAUAUUAUAAUUGUAGAAUUUUGAUUAAAAGUGAAAAUACUUUUUUGAUUAUAAAAGACGAUAAGACCCUAUAGAAUUUUAUUUACAAUUAUUGUAAAUUUUAUUGGGGCAGUAAAAGAAUAUAAUAAAUUUCUUAAGAAAAAUAUUAAUUAAAAUAAAAAUAUAAUUUCUUUAAAUUAAAAUAUCUAAAAAAUUACCUUAGGGAUAACAGCGUAAUUAUUUUUAAGAGUUCUUAUCGACAAAAUAUUUUGCGACCUCGAUGUUGAAUUAAAAUACCUAGUUGGGGCAGAUUUUUAUUAAGGUAGUCUGUUCGACUAUAGAAUUUUUACAUGAUUUGAGUUCCAGACCGGA
rnacentral:rRNA from 1 species